CGAGGAUAACAAUUGGGAAACGACUGCUAAGACUGGAUAGGAAGAAAUAAGGCAUCUUAUUUCUUUUAAAAGACCUAGUAAUAGGUAUACUUUAGGAGGGGCUUGCGCCAUAUUAGUUAGUUGGUAGGGUAAUGGCCUACCAAGACGAUGAUGUGUAGCUGGACUGAGAGGUUGAACAGCCACAUUGGGACUGAGACACGGCCCAAACUCCUACGGGAGGCAGCAGUAAGGAAUUUUCGGCAAUGGAGGAAACUCUGACCGAGCAACGCCGCGUGAACGACGAAGUACUUUGGUAUGUAAAGUUCUUUUAUCAAGGAAGAAAAGCAAGUGGCGAACCAUUUGUUUGCCGGUACUUGAUGAAUAAGCCCCGGCUAAUUAUGUGCCAGCAGCCGCGGUAAGACAUAAGGGGCAAGUGUUAUCCGGAAUUAUUGGGCGUAAAGGGUGCGUAGGCGGUCUAGUAAGUCAGUGGUGUAAUGGCAACGCUCAACGUUGUCCGGCUAUUGAAACUGCUAAACUUGAGUUAGAUAGAGGCGAGUGGAAUUCCAUGUGUAGCGGUAAAAUGCGUAAAUAUAUGGAGGAACACCAGAGGCGUAGGCGGCUCGCUGGGUCUUAACUGACGCUGAGGCACGAAAGCGUGGGGAGCAAACAGGAUUAGAUACCCUGGUAGUCCACGCCGUAAACGAUGAGUACUAAGUGUCGGGUUAAACCGGUACUGAAGUUAACACAUUAAGUACUCCGCCUGAGUAGUACGUACGCAAGUAUGAAACUUAAAGGAAUUGACGGGACUCCGCACAAGCGGUGGAUCAUGUUGUUUAAUUCGAAGAUACCCGAAAAACCUUACCAGGUCUUGACAUGUUUUUGCGAAACGGUAGUAAUAUCGUAGAGGUUAUCAGAAACACAGGUGGUGCAUGGUUGUCGUCAGCUCGUGUCGUGAGAUGUUAGGUUAAGUCCUAAAACGAGCGAAACCCUUAUCGUUAGUUGCCAGCACGUUAUGGUGGGGACUUUAACGAGACUGCCAGUGAUAAACUGGAGGAAGGUGAGGAUCACGUCAAAUCAGCAUGCCCCUUAUGACCUGGGCUACAAACGUGAUACAAUGGCUGUUACAAAGGGUAGCUGAAACGUAAGUUCUUGGCCAAUCCCCAAAAACAGUCUCAGUCCGGAUUGAAGUCUGCAACUCGACUUCAUGAAGUUGGAAUCGCUAGUAAUCGCGAAUCAGCAUGUCGCGGUGAAUACGUUCUCGGGGUUGUACACACCGCCCGUCAAACCACGAAAGU
rnacentral:rRNA from 1 species